rnacentral:rRNA from 1 species
AACGAACGCUGGCGGCAUGCCUAACACAUGCAAGUCGAACGAAGUCUUCGGACUUAGUGGCGCACGGGUGCGUAACGCGUGGGAAUCUGCCCUUGGGUACGGAAUAACUCUCCGAAAGGAGUGCUAAUACCGUAUGAUGUCGCAAGACCAAAGAUUUAUCGCCCAGGGAUGAGCCCGCGUAGGAUUAGCUAGUUGGUGGGGUAAAGGCUCACCAAGGCGACGAUCCUUAGCUGGUCUGAGAGGAUGAUCAGCCACACUGGGACUGAGACACGGCCCAGACUCCUACGGGAGGCAGCAGUGGGGAAUAUUGGACAAUGGGCGAAAGCCUGAUCCAGCAAUGCCGCGUGAGUGAUGAAGGCCCUAGGGUUGUAAAGCUCUUUUACCCGGGAUGAUAAUGACAGUACCGGGAGAGUAAGCCCCGGCUAACUCCGUGCCAGCCGCCGCCGUAA